rnacentral:lncRNA from 1 species
AUUUCUUAUCAUUGAUAUUAACUAGCAUAGUGUUAUUAUUUCUUAAAUAAGAUAAACUUUUCUCGUUUGUAAAUCACUCAUGCACAGACCUGUUUUUUCAAAGGUUUUUUAACGUGUUUAGAGGAAUCUUGGAUGGUUAUAUUAAAUAUAUGUAUCCGAAUGUGUCGGUACAUGGACACUUCAAGCAAAAAUGAAGAGUCUGAACAACCUAGAUUUUCAGUAUUAGACCACCUAAUGUUUAGGACUCUCCCUGCUUCUCGUGUCCUGCAUGGACUUUUGCAUUGAAAACUAUACAUAUUGUUGAAUCUAAGCAUUGUAUACAUACUUUUGCAUGUAUAUAUAUGUUUGAAGCUACAAACUUGAAUAUGCAUAUCUUGAUGUCUUUAUUUAUUUAUUUAUUUUUUUUUGUAGUAUAUCAUGUCUCGAUGUAUCAAAUUCGUUCUUAGACUUACCCUUGUAAAGUUUUUGUCUCCUUCUCAAUCUUUUAUUUAUAUUUCUCUUAAAUUUCAUCAGGACACCAACAUGGGGACUGGGACUCUAACAAAAGAGGUAUGAUAUAUGCAUACAUACAUAUAUUGCAUUGGGAAUCAGCUGUUUUAAGAAGCAUUUGGAAACUUGGAUUUCAAAAGUAGUGCAAGUUAAAUGAUAGAAUGUAAAUAAAAUGUAUUGUUUAUAGUUAUUUCUCAGAUACAUAUAUUUAUUGAAUGGGUGUAAGUAAUGAAUUUGGAAGUCAUGUUUUUUCAAUUAAAAAAAUUCAAAUACAUAGUCGCAUUAGAUCUCAAUGUUAUGGAAGAAAAUGUUGCUGCAAACUCUGAUGUUAUUCUGUUAUUUUCUUAUGCCUAUUAGCCGUUGUUGAUAAGCACCGUUUUGGUUCUAUGAACCAUUAAUGAAACUGAGCGUUUUGCUGAAGCCUUCUCAUUAGUGAAACAGUGCGAACUGGAGAGGGAUUACAGCUGUCGAGUAACAGCCACAGUAACCACCUCUCCUAACUGUUGCCGAGUUUCCCAUUCCGGGAGAAUGGCUGGGGAAAAACGGUUAUGCAGUUUUUGAAUCGAAGAAUUCUAUUGUUCCCUUCUCUCACUCGAUCUUCUUCUUCUUCUUCCCCCCUCUUUCUCCGCUAUUCUCUCUGGUUCUUGAGUGCAUUCAUAACACUCAACUGAUUUAUAUAUAAUUAUAUACACAUCAUUUUCUGUAAUUUAUAAGACAGAUGAAAUCAAAAUCAAAAUUUUGAAACUUCAAUAUGGCUACUAAAAAAUUAUGACUUGUAUUCUAUGUUUGUUGUUUUAGUUUUGUUCAGCAUAUCCAUGGCUUUUUUCUCUUGAUCAAAACCCAGAUCAAGGUCAUGGAAGUUUGUCAACUCUUGAAGGAAUACAGUCUCUAUUGAAGAGUUUGGAAAACCAACUUUAUGACGAAAACAACAAUAAAGUGUCUGUCAAAGAUUUCGAAGGAUUAGAAGAGGCAUUGAAGGAAACUAAUGCCAUGGAUCUUCUUCCUGACUACCUCAGACCUAUUGCGAACCAAAUCGAAGAGGCUCGUGGGAAAGCUACUGGGAUUGCCCACGGUUAUGUUCAGGUUUUGGUCUGCGCUGCUAUCAAGGAGAUGCAAGAUUUGGCACCCGUGGAGAUGGAUAUGUUGAAAAAAUGGGCAGCGGCGCUCAAUUAUGCUAGGCAACAUGGUUUUCAAGUGACAUUUGCUGAUCAUUUACUGAGGAAGAAUUUUGAUGCCUACAUUCAUAAUAAAUUUGGGUUGGGUUGGUUCGGGUUGUAAAAUUUUCCAAUUAUUUUGGAUUGGAUCUGUCUCUGGAUUUAGUCAUUUUAUGAUCUGGUUGUUUCAAGUUUAGAUCGUCUUGAGUUUUGAGUUCAGGUCAGUUUGAGUUUGCUUCAAUUUGGUUGUCCCAAAUGUAGAAACUUUGUGGUUUUUGGUACGAAAUUGUGUAGUUUGUUGUGUAAUUUGUAUUGUGUACGUGUGUGCAUGUUGAUGUUAUGUAAUCGUCUUAAUAAGACUUAUGUUGGUGGUAUUUUUCAUGUUUCAUUUUUGUACCAGUAUUUGGAAUUUGAAUUAUGUAAUUGGGUUCGUGUUUGGUUCUAGAGGUGUUCAUGGGUUUGGAUUUGAGUUGAUUUAUAUUUGCAAAAGACCAAUUGAAAUUCAUUCUAAAGGUAGGUUUGGAUGAGCGAUUUGGUGUGGAGCUUAUUUUUUGUCUCAUGUUACAGUAUUGCUACAAUAUGUAAUCUUAUCGCCACCGUUGUUUUUACACUAACCGCAGGUAAACGUACUGCUCAUCCAAAUCCACCCUAAGUUUGCUUAUAUUUAAAAAAUAUAUAUUUAUAUCAUAUUAUUUUAAUAUUUAAUAAUUCUAUAUAUUUUUAUUUAUUAAUUUUUUUAUAUAGUGAUCUUAACAUCAUUUUAAUGUUUAUACUAGUGUAGUAUUAUAUAUCUAGUGUAGGUUUGUUUUCUUAAUAUGUUUUAAAUUACAUAAUAUAUAAAAAUAACAUAAUAUAAAGUAUCAUAAACUUAAAAUGGGUUUGGUUGGGUUGGGUCGGGUCGGACAUUUAAUGUUCAAACUCGAGCUUAGCUCGUAUUUUAAACGGGUUUAAUUUUUUUGUUCAAGUCUAUUUUUCGGAUCUAUUAUUUUUUUCAAACUCUCUCAAUUUUCGGACAGGCCUUCGAACCUAUACGAGUAACUCAAACCAUUAACAAGUCUAUUUGCACUUGUGAUGUAUAUGUGUUCAAAGGCAAAUUUUGUUAGUUUGAAUAUGUAAAUUUAAUUCAUGAUUACGAUGUUAUUACUCAAUUGGGCUUAAAGUAAGAGGAUUAGUUAGACUUUUUUAAUGCAUGCGCGAUAGACUCAAAAGAAUUAGUAUCUCAAGGUCAAAGUUGACGCUAAGUUGAAAUUAAACAUUUAUUUAGGGCUAGUUUAAUAUUACUUUUCAAAAGUACAUUUAAAAAGUGUAGUGAAAAGUUAUUUUUGAAUAAUUUAGUUUAAGAUUUAGUGUUUAGUAUUAUUGUAAAAAAAAUACUUUUAAAAAAUAAAAUAUUAAUUUUAGAUAUGAUAUUAUCAAGUAACAAAUAUGUGUUUAAAUAAUGUUCAAAUUAGUUAAUAUUUUUUCUCCCUAUUUAUUCUAAAUAUUUUUUAUCACACUGAAAUUAUCUCAUUAAUCAGUUAAAAAUAUAUUAAAAUUUUAUUUUCAUAACUAAUUGUGUGGUGGUUUAGUAAUUAGUUUAGGCAAAUACAGUAUUGAAAUAUGAUUGCUUUGAAUUAAUGUUUAUCUAUUAUUUAUUCGUAAGUAAGUAUAAUCUAUCAUUGUUAUGUCGUUUAAAAUGAAAUGAUCAUUAUGUAAGGAGGAAUUCUAGUUUGUGGUUGAUCAGGUUAUUUAGGGGAUUUACUUUAAUGUUUUUGUUACUCAUCUCUCUCCGCCGUGCCUUUAAAAAAUUUCACCUCUCAUGUCAUAAUCCUUUUUAUGGAUUAUCUUGGCAUAAUAUUUUGCAAUUUCUUCCUAUUUUGGCAUCUUCUAAUUUAUAAUUUUUAAUCAUUUAAAAAAUUAAUGAUUUUCACAGAAUUUUAAUAAUUUUUACAACUUUUAAAUAUUAUUUAUACAUGUAUAGUUUUUAAGUUUUCUUCAAACUUUAUAUUUUUUACAAGUUUUUUUAAAAUAAUAUUAUUAAAUUCAAUUAAUUUUUAAAUAAAUUUUAUUUUUACAAUGAUAUUUUUGUUCCCAAUAAAAAAUUAAAACAAUUAUAAGUUUAGGACUUAAAUUGGAUCCAAAAAAUAAGUCAGUCUUCAAAAAGCAGUUUAAUUCAAAUAAUAAAUGAAAAUAAAAUAGGCUUAAAUACAUAUUAGGCACCAAACUUGGCAUCUUCUUUUAAUUUGAUGGUUAUGGUUUUUCGUCCCAACUUGGUACCCGAACAACUUUUCGAUCUAUUAUUUUAGUGCUUCUUUGUAAGUGCUUUCAUUUUCAAUGACGCGAUAAUACCAUAUUGUGGCACAUGAAAAAUAUUAUUUGAAAAUUUGAAAACUUCAAAUUUCUAUAAAAAUUCAAAUAUGUAAAUUUAAAAAAUAUAAUUUUGAAAUUUAUAUAAAUUUUAAAAAAAUCUCAAAAUUUAAAAUAUAUGUAAAAACUGAAAAGAAAAUUACAAAAAUAACAUAAUUUGAGAGUGUCAAGAGUUUUAAAAUUAAUGACGUCAUUAAAAAAUUUACAAUUUCAAGUACUGAAUAACUUAUUUAAAAAUUUACAUAUAAAUUUACGAUUUCAAUACUGAAAAUCAUAAAAUUCAAAGUUAACAAUAUUACUCAUCAUGUUAUACAAAAUGAAACAUGUAAAAAUAACACCAACAUAAAAAUAUAUCAAUGUCUCAAAAUCCAUAUAAUGUUAAAUAUUAAUUUUUCAAAGUCUAUAUUAGUAUAAAGCAUCUCAAAUAUGAUUAUAACACAACAAAAUAUAUGAAUACGAUGCAGAUAAACAAGUAAAUUUAGAAACAGGUAAAUUAUAAAAAUAAUUAUUUUUGUAUUCAAUAACAUAUAUUAAUCAUUUAAAUAAUAUAUUAUUAAUUUUAAAGUAAGUGCUAAUCUAAUAUUAAUCUAACAUUAAUCUUUAAUUUAUAAUUUAUUAGCAAAUAAUGGAAAGUUACAUAUUUUUUUAAAAUAUUUUAAUAACUAAAGUAAAAUAAAAAGAGUAGGAAUCAAAUUGACAAAAAUUAUAAAAAUUGAAGGAUUAAUUGUACCUAAUUUUUUAACAGAGUUAAUAGAAAUAGUUAAUGGAGAAACUGAAAAUGAACAAAUGAAAAAUAAAAAAUUAAUUUUGAGCAAAUAAAAAUAGAAAAAUUAACUCCUAAGUAUAGGAAAUUGCAUGUCUUUUGAGUCUAAAUUUGUUCAUUUCAUAAACCAAUUUUAGGACGAUAACAACAACAAAGUGGAGUACAAUGAUUUUCUAGGCUUAGAGGAUGCAUUAGAAAAAACUACCUGGGAGAAAGUUCCAGAUUACCUCAAACCUAUUGGGAUCUAAAUAAAAGAUGCUCGUGGAAAAGCUACUGGGUUUUCUCAUACUGGAAUACAAAUUCUGGGCUGCGCCGUAAUAAAAGAGAUGGAAGAUAUGUCGCUUGAGGAUUUGGGUUGGGGUACACUCAAAAAGUGGGCAGCUGUGCUGAUUACGCUAAUGAACGUGGUUUUCAAGUAGGAUUUGCUAAUAAUCUGUUGCAGAGGAAUGUGGUUGCCUACUUUCAGAAAAAGGAGCUCUCAUAGUUUAUAUUUAAUCAUGUAUCUAACAUUCUGCUAUGUUUUAAUGUCUCAUUUUGCGUCAAGUAUGUUUCUGGUUUUCAAUGUCUCAUUUGGGUCAUAACCUUAUUUAAUUUGUUUAAUCAAUUUAAUCAUAUGUGUCAUGUAUCAUACUUACAUGGACAAUCUAGUCCAUGUAAGAUCUGUACGAGUCUUUACAAUUUAAUAGGGCAGUUUUGAAUUUUUGAAAUAUUAAUAAGGAUGAAAUAGACAUUUUCAAUUAAGCAAAUUUUGACAAUAUUUUAUUUUAAUUUGAUUAAAUUCUCGUUAAUACUCUUUUUCAAUUUCUCAUAAUUUUAAAAUUUAACAAUUUCAUUACAAGUUUUAAUUAUAUUUGCUCUUUUUUUACAUAAGUCCUAGAAUUACCCAUAGCUCCUCUUUAAACCAUAAAUAAAAAGAUAAUUUGUUUCAGUGCACUUGAUCCUAUAUUCUCCUGCAUUAAUAAUAAUGUCGAUGUCAAUCGAGUUAAGACUCAAUCGAUCAAUUUCUCAAAAGCUUUUUGUCUGAAAUAAUUUAUUAUUCAUUUAAUUUUCAUAAUAAAUUUCUAUUAAUUCUAUAUUUUUCGUAAAAACUUCUAAAAUUUUAUAAUAAACAUUAGGAAUUGAUGCAAAGUAACACAGUUUUCAAAUUUUCAUUUAUCAGCUUUUUUUUCUCACUAUUAUUCUUUUAGGCUCAUGUUUUUGCUUUGUUCAUUUGUAGUUUUCUACUGUUUUUGAAUUCUCAAACUGAUAAUAAUUUUAUAAUGACUAAAAAAUAUUAGAUUUUAGAUACAAACAUAAUAGAGGGAUGAAAUUUGAAAAUUUACCAUUAUCUUCUCAUGAUUAAAUCCUUAAUAUGAGCUUAUGUUCCAAAGUUACAAAUUGAUGAUUAUUUUAUAAUGACUAAAAAAUUUAAUCCUAAAUGUAAGCAUAGUAAGGGAUUGAACUUGUAAUUUUACUAGAACUUAUUAUGCGUUUAAACAAAAAGAACAUGCGUCAUUCAUAAGCCUUCCUUCCUUUUGUUUAAAUAAAUUUAGACCUACCAAAUUGUUUUAAAAAUUUAUUUUUUUUGGGAGUGGGUGGGGAUGCGGGAAGUUGGGCGUGGCAGAACAAAGGCAGCGCGAGAGCUUAGGGGUGAUUUAAUCAAAUUUUUUUGUUAAUCAAAUUUAUGAAUUAUAUUUUAUCAUUCUAAUUUGAUUUAAAAAUUAAGUUAAGUGAAAUAAAAUUUAAAUCUGAGUCAAAUUAAGUAAAUUUAUUUAAAUUAAAUUAAUAUCAAAUUAAAAUCUUACUAUAAUAUAAUUAAUUCUAUAAAGUAUAUAAAAUUAAAACUAUAAAUAUUUGAAGUGAAAUAAGAAAAAAAAACUUUAAUCAUUAAUUAAUUUAUAUAGAUUUUAAAGUUAUUAUUUUUAAAAAUUAAAAUUUUAACUUCUUUUUAUAUAUUAUUUAUUUUUCUUAAAAAAUAUAUUUUUUAAAAAUAAAAAUUUUGAAAUUUUUAUAAAUAUAUGAAAUUUAAAAAAUUAUUUUGAUUUUUUUUUAUAUUUUUUGGUGAGAGAGAUCGAUUUGUUUAUUUUUAAGAUUGAUAAAGGUCAAAGGAGUAUUUAUAUCAAUACAUUAUUCAAAUUAUUUAAAUUAUGAAAUUCGAUUCAACUCUAACUCGAAACUUAAAUUACUUUUAUUACUUUUAUUGAUAGGGAUAAAUUUUAAAAUUAUACAUAAAUUUUGAUUUAACGUGCAAUUGUAUACAUGAGUUUUAAUUUGGAGUAAUUAUGUACGUGAAACUCUAAUUGUGGUUCAAACGUUAAUUUUAAUUUAAUCAUCUAUAUUUAAAUAAUAUAUAUAAAUUUAUUUUUAUAUUAGAGAAAUAUAAUUAUUUAUGUAUGUAAUAUAUAAAUAAAUAAUAUUAUAUCAAUAAUUAUGUUAAUAAUUUACAAAAAUCAAAUCAAAUUAAAAUUUUAUAAAUAAAAUAAUAUAAAAUUAAAAUUUAUGUAUAUAAUUACACGUUAAUCUAUAGUAUAGUUUUUAAAUUUAUCAAAUUUAUCAACGGAGUUUUUAUUUUUUUUACUCUUCCCAGAAAUUUAUGCUCGCAUUUGCUGACGCAUACUAAUUGUCUCGCUACAAAUUAAUAAGCAGAAAGUCAAUCUCGGGCAUGUCUGUCCCUUUCCAAGCUUUCCUUGCUUUUUUUUAUUCAAUCCCCAAAUUUGAAUUAGGUCAAUAUUUUCCCUUCAAGGCGUUGGCUGCCGGUGUUCUCCCCUCUUAUCUUCACCGUAGACAAAUCCAAGGAGUAGGUACUACUUAAUUUACCAGCCCAUUUUCAUCACAGUCCAUAUAUUUCUUGAUUUGAUCUUGCAGAAUUUCUUCUUUUUAUUACUUGAGGAAACUUCGUUUUGUAGGGUUUCGUUUUGAUAGUUUAUAUAUCCGUGGUUUGAUCUUUUUUUGUUCCUCAGGUCUGUGCUAAAUGAGUGAAAACCAGGACAUCCCUUGCCCAAUUGGGGUUGUUUCGGACGCUGAGAGUGAUCCCCCUGAAAAUGAACCGGAUGAUAGCCAGAUGCAUUUGUCAACUAGAAGCAAGAAAAGAAGCCGGGAAAUCGAAGUCGAAGCUAAAGGAAAAGCCCCCAAGAAAUGGACAUCGGGAAAAGAAGCUUCAACUUCCCAGCAACAGUCAAAACCGAAAAGUGAAAAGAACUGUGGGAAAGCUGUGCAAAACAGAUUGAAAAAUAUCAACCAUCAAAUUGACAGACGAAGAAAGGCGGUAAAGUAUCCUAAUUGAACUAAGUAUUUCAUAUUAGAUUCACAGUAAAAACUAAGAAUUUCAUAUUAGAUUCACUUUUUUAUUAUCUUUUAUGCAUACAUUUUGAACAUAAAAAGAUCCCAUGUCAUCUGGUAAGUAUUGGAUUAUUUUCUAAACAGACAAUACACAACAAUACAUCAGAACUGUACAGUUUGGAAAUCCUUGCAUCAGCAAUAUCUUUAUAUCUUGUUUUUUAACACUUAUUUUUGUGUAUAUAUUUGGUGGCAUGAAGUACAAAAUGAGUGAUUUGGAAUUUCUGACAUGGGUAAACCCGAAAUCCUUUCCUGUACCAUCAAAAAUUCCUGCCUCCUUCAAGCAAAUCAAAAAGGGGUGGCCAAUGCGUCCUGAUCUCCAAAGCAUUCUCCAAAAGAUCCAGGACAUCAAGGCCAAAUUCAAAGAUCAUUUUAAAGAUCAUCUUUUAACAGAAGUUACAGUGACUGAGGAAUUGGAUACAGUAGAAGCUAAGUUAAAUGAAUUAGGUCAAAAACGAUCAGAGGUACGCCAAUGAUUACAAAUUUAAUUACUAAGUUUGCUCUUAUGUUCUAUAUCUCCAAAGCUUGCUUUCAUGAUCUAAAUCUCCAAUUUAACUUUCUAAAUUGAUUUUUCAGGAACAAAAAUUUAAUUACUAAGUUUGCUGUCAUGUUCAAUAUCUCCAAAGCUUGCUUUCAUGAUCUAAAUCUCCAAUUUAACUUUCUAAAUUGAUUUUUCAGUAACAAAAAUUUAAUUACUAAGUUUGCUGUCAUGUUCAAUAUCUCAAAAGCUUGCUUUCAUGAUCUAAAUCUCCAAUUUAACUUUCUAAAUUGAUUUUUCAGGAACAAAAAUUUAAUUACUAAGUUUGCUCUCAUGUUCUAUAUCUCCAAAGCUUGCUUUCAUGAUCUAAAUCUCCAAUUUGACUUUCUAAAUUAAUUUUUCAGGAACAAACAAGGGACCCUGAUGCAGUCUUCUCUAACAAUAAGGUAUGCACAUUUCUUAUCAUUGAUAUUAACUAGCAUAGUGUUAUUAUUUCUUCAAUAAGAAACUUUUCUCGCUUGUAAAUCACUCAUGCACAGACCUGUUUUUUCAAAGGUUUUUAACGUGUUUAGAGGAAUCUUGGAUGGUUACAUUAAAUAUAUGUGUCCGAAUGUGUCAGUACAUGGACACUUCGAGCAAAAAUGAAGAGUCUGAACAACCUAGAUUUUCAGUAUCA